CAGGGUGGCCAACCAUCGCAGUUUGCUUGGGACUGAGGAGUUUCCCAGGACAUGAGAUUCUUCAGUGCUAAAACUGGGAUAGUCCCAGGCAAACUAAGACAGUUGCUCACCCAGAGGCUAG
rnacentral:pre_miRNA from 1 species